rnacentral:rRNA from 1 species
UACGGAGGGAGCUAGCGUUGUUCGGAAUUACUGGGCGUAAAGCGUACGUAGGCGGCUUUGUAAGUUAGAGGUGAAAGCCCGGAGCUCAACUCCGGAAUUGCCUUUAAGACUGCAUCGCUUGAAUCCUGGAGAGGUGAGUGGAAUUCCGAGUGUAGAGGUGAAAUUCGUAGAUAUUCGGAAGAACACCAGUGGCGAAGGCGGCUCACUGGACAGGUAUUGACGCUGAGGUACGAAAGCGUGGGGAGCAAACAGG